GACGAACGCUGGCGGCGUGCCUAAUACAUGCAAGUCGAGCGCAGGAAGUCGACGGAACCCUUCGGGGGGAAGUCGACGGAAUGAGCGGCGGACGGGUGAGUAACACGUAAAGAACCUGCCCUCAGGUCUGGGAUAACCACGAGAAAUCGGGGCUAAUACCGGAUGGGUCAUCGGACCGCAUGGUCUGAGGAUGAAAGGCGCUUCGGCGUCGCCUGGGGAUGGCUUUGCGGUGCAUUAGCUAGUUGGUGGGGUAAUGGCCCACCAAGGCGACGAUGCAUAGCCGACCUGAGAGGGUGAUCGGCCACACUGGGACUGAGACACGGCCCAGACUCCUACGGGAGGCAGCAGUAGGGAAUCUUCCACAAUGGACGAAAGUCUGAUGGAGCAACGCCGCGUGAACGAUGAAGGCCUUCGGGUCGUAAAGUUCUGUUGUAAGGGAAGAACAAGUGCCGCAGGCAAUGGCGGCACCUUGACGGUACCUUGCGAGAAAGCCACGGCUAACUACGUGCCAGCCGCCGCAGUAAUAC
rnacentral:rRNA from 1 species